UACGUAGGGAGCAAGCGUUGUCCGGAAUCAUUGGGCGUAAAGCGCGCGUAGGCGGCCCCGUAAGUCCGCUGUGAAAGUCAAAGGCUCAACCUUUGAAAGCCGGUGGAUACUGUGGGGCUAGAGUACGGAAGAGGCGAGUGGAAUUCCUGGUGUAGCGGUGGAAUGCGCAGAUAUCAGGAGGAACACCAAUAGCGAAGGCAGCUCGCUGGGACGUUACUGACGCUGAGGCGCGAAAGCUGGGGGAGCAAACAGG
rnacentral:rRNA from 1 species